GGGGCAUUAGCUCAGUUGGUAGAGUGUUGCACUGGCAGUGCAAAGGUCAGGGGUUCGAAUCCCCUAUGCUCCA
rnacentral:tRNA from 1 species